GUGUGUCACUUGCUGUGACUGUGUGGCAGCUUGCCCAUCUCCUGAGAGCCCUUGGGAAAGUGAAGGACAAUAUAUAAGGACUCCAAUCACUUAAAAGCUAAGUAUUAAGUUUUUCCUUGCCACUGCUGACCCAGGUUUGUUGCAUAGAUUGCAGACCUGGAGAUGGAUACCUUGUUCUUGGUUCAGUGCUGCACAGACUCCUCCACUGGGGGACCCUAUCCCUUGCUCCUCAUAGUCCUGAUUUCUAGGACCCAUAACCCUAUUAUAAUUAAAAUCCCAGCAUUAGCAUAGGUUCCUGGCUACAACCUUUGUCCUACUUAUUGUAUGGAAUUUGCUAAUACCUUUGCUAUCCAUUCCAACACCAGGCCUGGACAGCACCAAGCUGCCCUGCCUGCAGCUGAAAAACUUUUAACUUAAUAGUCUUUGAAGUUUUGUCAUAGAAGUGUUAAAUAGUACUCUAUACUGUAUCUGUCUUUUGAACUGUAUGUAAAAGAAGUUACAUUGAAUAUAUUUUAUAGAAAUAUGUGCACUUUUUAUCUGGCACUUUAUUGCUCACCCCUAAGGACAUCAUUCCUGUUGACCUAAACUAGUACAUCUAUUUGCAGUAGGAAAAGUGCUUUUGGAGAAAAUCACCUGUCUCCUCAGAACUGGUCUUACAAGUCUGUGAAGUAACACUAUGUGCCAGCCUAAUCACUCAUAUAUGACCUCAAGAGAACACCAAAUAAGCAUAUUUCCAGCAGGAAAUGACCAGUGCUUUGGUUAAGAAUGCACAUUAUACUGCAGUUCUUUGGGGAAUGAAGCCACCCUUGACUGAGGUAUUAUGCCAACUCUCACCCUGUGAAUCCACUGACUGGGGAACAUUGUUUAAGAAAAUCACAUGGCUGUGCCAACAAGCAAGGAGACACGGCACAGAAGACAGAGGCAGAAGCAGCUUUAUUGAAAAACAGAGCAUGAGUAGAACGACUUCAAAUCCCAUAUGGCACCACAGUGAGAAGUAACUUCCUCUGAGCUUCUUAGAGAAUCCAACAAUGUCCUGCUUCCUUGGGGAGCUGCAGCCAUGGGCACAUGGGAAUAGGGCUUCCACCAAGAGUCCCGUCAGUCACAGCAACAGGAGGUCUUCCUCAGACAACUUUGAUGAUAGUGGUUGUUAGCCAGAGCAAGCUAGAACCAGAAAGAAAAACUAUGAAGAUGCCACAGUGGGAGUCUGAGCACCUUGAGGCCUCCUGUUGGAAACUGGCAAACCUAACUGUGGGACACUUGGAUGCUGAGUUCUGGUAAACAUGCUGUCGGAGGCACGGUAAUUUAGUCAUUAACAUUUAAAAACGAUCUAAUUCUAUAUACAUACUCUGUUGAAGACUUCUUCCAACCACCUUGUAUUAUAAAUUUAAAAUAUGAAAUACAAACUCUUUAUGUGUCUUGACUCAGAUUACCUAGGAAGGGACAGUGACCUAUUCAUCAAUGUUUAGAAUUAGAGUAAGUUAUAGAAUAUAGUCUGAGAAAAUUACUUGGACCAAGAAAGCAAUGUCCCUGACAUUCAUCAAUCUAGAACCAGAGCUGCAGAUUAAGCUAGGUGCAAAUUUAUCAGAAAACAAUAUUUUUCCCAAAUACAUAUUGCAGCCAUAAAAUGCCCUAAAAACCCAGUUCUUAGAGGGACUAUUGCUUACUUACUGAGAAAUUGUAUUCUCUGAAAUCAUAGACUAUGAGAUGCAUUGCUGUUUAAAAUUAUUGCAAUAAGAAUGAAACAUCUCACUCUUAUCUGGAGGAGUUAAGUCAUUGUGAUCAGUGAAGCCUUGAUUUAAGCUCCUGUGCAAAGCUUCAGAGAAUGGGUCUCAGGACACAACAUUUGACAUCUAUUUUGACUUCAUUUCCAAGAAAAUAGGACUGCUAUGGUUUGAAUGUUUGUCUCCCUCAAACCAAGGUGUCGGAGGUGGGGCCUAAUGGGAGACGUUUGGGUUAUCAGGGAGGGUCCCUCAUGAAUAGAUUAAUGCUCUCCCUGGGGGUAGGGAACAGUUAGUGAGUUCUUGCUUUAUUCAUUCUCAAGAGAGCUGGUUGUUAAAUAGAGCCUGGCGCCUCCCUCCUCCCUCCUUGCUUUCUCUCUCACCGUAUGAUCUUAGCACAUUACACCUCCCCUCACCUUCUGCCAUGAGUGGAAGCAGCCUGAGCCUCUCACCAGGAGCAGAUGCUGGUGCCAUGCUUCUUGUACAGCCCACAGAGCAGUGAGCCAAAUAAACCUCUUUUCCUUAGAGAUUGCGCAGCCUCAGAUGUUCCUCUAGAGCAACACAAAAUGGACUAAGACAAGAACCAUAGGUCCAUUUCACAGUACAGAGCUGAGGUUGACCCCUUUUAUACACAACCAUACUUUCUUAGAGCCCAUAGAAUAUCAUUUCAUUUACAUCACACCUAAAUUCCACUCUUUAGCAAAAUCUUAUGUUAACCCUAUAUUUUCCUUUGUUUGAUGAGAUACCCCACAAUUGCUCUGUUGUGCAGUCCCCACACUGCAAUGAGUCAGUAAACUCAAUUGGUUUGUUUACAGGUUGUCCCUGGUGGUUUUAGGCUGAUUGGGCUAAGACAAACCACAUCUUAUUUUUUAAAUGUCUCCUUUAAGCAAAUGUUAUUAUCUGUAUUUUACUCUAUUCCAUAAGCAGAAGUGACAAAGUAGUCUAAUUUUACCAAAAGAUGCUUAUAGCAUAAAACUUUCUAUGCUGUAAACAUAGAAAGUACUUG
rnacentral:lncRNA from 1 species